rnacentral:misc_RNA from 1 species
AAAAAAAUACAACUUGCUGAGUUUUAGCUUUUCUAUCCAAAUCUAAAGAGUAGAUUAAAGCUAUACUAAAAUAACAACAACCUUUGUAAAAUUAAACAACACUGCCAAAGAUGUUCGGAAAAGAUAUGAACGACUAUUACAAUAAGAUGUUAACACAGAGAAACUCAUCUUUUCUAUUGUUUUUCAAAAGCAGCGAUACAAGUCUUUAACUAGGAAUUGGAAACAAACAAACCGAGAGAAGAAAAAUAGAGCACUAGUUUAGAACUAACCCUUUACUCAUUAACCGACUAACAUCAACUAAUUAGGACUCUCGAACUACAUAACUAGAUAUGUAAUACUCCUAAAAGUACUUCCAAUAAUAGCACUAAACUUUUGAAUCAGUCAACUAACAAAGACAUUCUUACAAAUAAAAAGUAACUGAAACAUAUGGAAGAUCAGAAUAGAUUUCAAAACAAAUGACACCAUAGUGGCAAAUCUCACAAAAAAUGGAGGGUUGAUGAAGACCUGGUUUAUUGUUG